UACGUAGGUGGCAAGCGUUGUCCGGAAUUAUUGGGCGUAAAGCGCGCGCAGGCGGUUCCUUAAGUCUGAUGUGAAAGCCCACGGCUCAACCGUGGAGGGUCAUUGGAAACUGGGGAACUUGAGUGCAGAAGAGGAUAGUGGAAUUCCAAGUGUAGCGGUGAAAUGCGUAGAGAUUUGGAGGAACACCAGUGGCGAAGGCGACUAUCUGGUCUGUAACUGACGCUGAGGCGCGAAAGCGUGGGGAGCAAACAGG
rnacentral:rRNA from 1 species